rnacentral:lncRNA from 1 species
UCUCUCUCUUCCAUGGGUUCUCACAGUCUCUGCGGCGAAAAAAAUUGAGCCACCACUCCUUUGUUCACUGUAUACAGGCCUUAAACCUCAAUUAGAUUAGGUUUAAGACUCCUAAUCAAGCCCAAAUUAAGUCCCAAAACUUUGGAUCAAGAUCGGGAUCAACCCAUGCCGUUGGAUCACACUUCGGUCCACAGAAUAGUGCCGUAGACCAUGAAAAACAGGUGGGAAAUAGCUUUAUGAUCCACGUGCUCCUCUGUGCACCACCCA